rnacentral:rRNA from 1 species
CAGUAGCCACGGUAAUACGUAGGGUGCAAGCGUUAAUCGGAAUUACUGGGCGUAAAGCGUGCGCAGGCGGUUUUGCAAGUCAGAUGUGAAAUCCCCGGGCUCAACCUGGGAACUGCAUUUGAAACUACAAGGCUAGAGUGUGUCAGAGGGGGGUAGAAUUCCACGUGUAGCAGUGAAAUGCGUAGAGAUGUGGAGGAAUACCGAUGGCGAAGGCAGCCCCCUGGGAUAACACUGACGCUCAUGCACGAAAGCGUGGGGAGCAAACAGGAUUAGAUACCCCUGUAGUCCCUGUCUCUUAUAC